rnacentral:rRNA from 1 species
GAAUUCACUAGUGAUUCAGGCCUAACACAUGCAAGUCGAGCGGUAGAGAGAAGCUUGCUUCUCUUGAGAGCGGCGGACGGGUGAGUAAUGCCUAGGAAUCUGCCUGGUAGUGGGGGAUAACGUUCGGAAACGGACGCUAAUACCGCAUACGUCCUACGGGAGAAAGCAGGGGACCUUCGGGCCUUGCGCUAUCAGAUGAGCCUAGGUCGGAUUAGCUAGUUGGUGAGGUAAUGGCUCACCAAGGCGACGAUCCGUAACUGGUCUGAGAGGAUGAUCAGUCACACUGGAACUGAGACACGGUCCAGACUCCUACGGGAGGCAGCAGUGGGGAAUAUUGGACAAUGGGCGAAAGCCUGAUC